rnacentral:rRNA from 1 species
AUGUCUUCCUCCACCUCCUCCUUCCAGCCCACGCUCAGCGGAGGAGGCCCGGAGAAACUCUCCCGCACCAAUUACGUCCUGUGGCGGACACAGAUCACGCCGCAGCUGCGGGGCGCCGGUGUCUUACACCACGUCGACGGCACGGCCAGCGAGCCGGCCAAAACCCACGUCACCAAGGAUGCCGCUGGGAAGGAAACCGAGGGGCCAAAUCCUCUCCAUCUGCUCUGGGUGAAGGAGGAUCAGCAGGUCCUUGGAUACCUGCUCCAAAACCUCUCCAAGGAGGUGCUCGUCACGGUGACCACGAUCACCACGGCGCGGAAACUCUGGGUGGCGCUGGCGAGCAUGUUCUUGUCACAGUCACUCAACCGUGUCAACAACAUCCGCACGUCGCUGAUUAACGCGCAGAAGGGAAAUCAAUCGGCGGCCUCCUACUUCGCCGCCAUGAGGGGCCUCGCCGACGAGCUCGCCGCAGCGGGAAAACCCAUCCAGGACGACGAGCUCAUGUCCUACAUCAUCCACGGGCUGGACCAAGAUUACGAGACCCUCGUCUCUGCCUUGGACGCCCGCGUCACUCCGGUAACCCUUGACGAGCUCUUUGCCAUGCUUAGCAAUUUUGAUCAGCGCAUGGCGCAGUACCACGGCUCCGGUGGCGGCUUCAAGUCCUCGGCCAACUCCGUCUCCAGAGCCCGCGGCGGCGGCUCUCGCUCUCGUGCCUCCUCUCGUGGCAAGGGGAGGUUCGGAUUCGGCGGUGGUGGCUACUCCAACAACGCUGGCGGCGGCGGACGCUCCGGCAACUCAAAAGGGCGUCGGGGCGGUGGCUCCAACAGAUCUCGCACGGACUUGCCUCGGUGCCAAAUUUGUGGCAAGCCUGGUCAUACGGCGAAGUACUGUUGGUACCGC